rnacentral:rRNA from 1 species
AACAACCUGGCGGCGUGGAUAAGACAUGCAAGUCGAACGAGAUUUUCCGUUGUAGCAAUACGAUGGAAAGUCUAGUGGCGAACGGGUGCUUAACACGUGGGCAACCUGCCGAGGAGUGGGGGAUAGCUCGCCGAAAGGCGAAUUAAUACCGCAUGUGAUUAGAGUGGACAUCCAUUCGAAAUUAAAGUCGGGGCAACCUGACGCUUCUUGUGGGGCCCGCGGCCUAUCAGCUAGUUGGUGAGGUAACGGCUCACCAAGGCUUUGACGGGUAGCUGGUCUGAGAGGACGACCAGCCACACUGGGACUGAGACACGGCCCAGACACCUACGGGUGGCAGCAGUCGAGAAUUUUUGACAAUGGGGGAAACCCUGAUCGAGCGACGCCGCGUGGAGGAUGAAGGUCUUCGGA